GAACAAGUGUGGCAUAGUGGUUUGAGUGUUGGACUAUAGCUCUAGAGACCAGGGUUUGAAUCCCUGCUUGGCUA